rnacentral:rRNA from 1 species
AGCGUUGUUCGGAAUUACUGGGCGGAAAGCGCACGUAGGCGGCUUUGUAAGUUAGAGGUGAAAGCCCGGGGCUCAACCCCGGAAUUGCCUUUAAGACUGCAUCGCUUGAAUCCAGGAGAGGUGAGUGGAAUUCCGAGUGUAGAGGUGAAAUUCGUAGAUAUUCGGAAGAACACCAGUGGCGAAGGCGGCUCACUGGACUGGUAUUGACGCUGAGGUGCGAAAGCGUGGGGAGCAAACAGG